AUUGAACCUACUUGUCAUAUAUGCAGUUCCACCCAAUCCCUCCUUGUCACUCAUAAUCUCAUCUGCUACACAGUCACAGUCUCCUGGCGUCACACACCAUGGCUCAGGAGUACACACUCACACGUUCUUCCGGCGUCGCACAACACCUCCCGGUGACACCCGCGGACACUAUAGUCUCAAUGCUCUUUGCAUCACACUCUUGUGGUGCUCACACUAGCUCAGCCCUGAGGGCCACACGGGGGCGCGCGAGGCCCGCGAGCCGCCCACCCACCUCGCUCCGAAGAGCCGCAGAAGGACUGAGAAACAGUUAGGGCAAGGCGUCCCCGUUUGCCCUGCGGGAAAUGGAACCGGGAUUAGGGGGCCUGAGAAAGACGUGGGAGGGAGAUGGAGACCUAGGAAGGUGGAGGGAGCCACGGACCAGAGGGAUAGGAUGAAAAGUGGACAGAGAAGUUCAGAGGGAGGUGAGAGAUGCAGGGAGAGACAGAGACACUUAGAGAGGAGAGACUUAUGGACUAAGACCAAGGAAGGAAGACUGCAGAGAGAGACAGGGACAGGAG
rnacentral:lncRNA from 1 species